AUUGAACGCUGGCGGCAUGCCUUACACAUGCAAGUCGAACGGCAGCACGGGGCAACCUGGUGGCGAGUGGCGAACGGGUGAGUAAUGCAUCGGAACGUACCUUUCAGUGGGGGAUAACGUAGCGAAAGUUACGCUAAUACCGCAUAUUCUGUGAGCAGGAAAGCAGGGGAUCGCAAGACCUUGCGCUGAUUGAGCGGCCGAUGUCAGAUUAGCUAGUUGGUGAGGUAAAGGCUCACCAAGGCGACGAUCUGUAGCGGGUCUGAGAGGAUGAUCCGCCACACUGGAACUGGGACACGGUCCAGACGCCUACGGGAGGCAGCAGUGGGGAAUUUUGGACAAUGGGGGCAACCCUGAUCCAGCCAUGCCGCGUGAGUGAAGGAGGCCUUCGGGUUGUAAAGCUCCUUCGGCCGGGAAGAAAUCGCACGGGCUAAUACCCUGUGUGGAUGACGGUACCGGAAUAAGAAGCACCGGCUAACUACGUGCCAGCAGCCGCCGUAACAC
rnacentral:rRNA from 1 species